rnacentral:rRNA from 1 species
ACACAUGCAAGUCGAACGAGAAGCCUGAUUUCGAUUAGGUGGAGAGUGGCGCACGGGUGAGUAACACAUGGCUGACCUGCCCUUCAGAGGGGGACAACCACCGGAAACGGUGGCUAAUACCCCAUACGCUCGCCGUGAUUAGCAGGCGGUGAGGAAACCUUCGGGGCUGAGGGAGGGGGCUGUGGCCCAUCAGCUAGUUGGUAGGGUAACGGCCUACCAAGGCGAAGACGGGUAGGGGGCCUGAGAGGGUGACCCCCCACACGGGCACUGAGACACGGGCCCGACUUCUACGGAAGGCAGCAGUGAGGGAUAUUGCCCAAUGGACGGAAGUCUGAGGCAGCAACGCCGCGUGCGGGAUGAAGGCCUUCGGGUUGUAAACCGCUUUUCUGCGCGAAGAGGAAGGACGGUAGCGCAGGAAGAAGUCUCGGCUAACUACGUGCCAGCAGCCGCGGUAAAACGUAGGAGGCGAGCGUUAUCCGGAUUUACUGGGUGUAAAGCGCGUGCAGGCGGUCAUGUAAGUGGUGCGUGAAAGCGCCCGGCUCAACCGGGCGAGGCCGUGCCAAACUGCGUGACUGGAGGCAGGUAGAGGCGCGUGGAAUUCCGGGUGUAGUGGUGAAAUGCGUAGAUAUCCGGAGGAACACCAGUGGCGAAGGCGGCGCGCUGGGCCUGACCUGACGCUAAGACGCGAAAGCAUGGGGAGCGAACGGGAUUAGAAACCCCGGUAGUCCAUGCUGUAAACGCUGCAGACUAGGUGUUGCGUGCGACGAGUAUGCAGUGCCGAAGCCAACGUGAUAAGUCUGCCACCUGGGGACUACGGCCGCAAGGUUAAAACUCAAAGGAAUUGACGGGGGCCCGCACAAGCAGCGGAGCGUGUGGUUUAAUUCGAGGCUACACGAAGAACCUUACCUGGGCUUGACAUGGCGGUGGUAGGGAACCGAAAGGGGACCGACAUUCGGGAGCCGUCACAGGUGCUGCAUGGCUGUCGUCAGCUCGUGUCGUGAGAUGUUCGGUUAAGUCCGGUAACGAGCGCAACCCUCGCCGCUAGUUACAAGUGUCUAGCGGGACUGCCCGUUGAACGCGGGAGGAAGGUGGGGAUGACGUCAAGUCAGCAUGGCCUUUAUGUC